rfam:Canis lupus familiaris chromosome 1, whole genome shotgun sequence.
AGGGGUGGGCUGGAUCCUGGGCUGUGUCCGGGCGCCCUGUGCUCCGGGGCCUGCGCUGUUGGAUUCGCGCUCCCGGCCCGCAGCCCCCU